AAUGCUAGAAACUGAACGCUGGUCCUCGGG
rnacentral:piRNA from 1 species